rnacentral:rRNA from 1 species
GGAAUAUUGCACAAUGGGCGAAAGCCUGAUGCAGCGACGCCGCGUGAGGGAUGACGGCCUUCGGGUUGUAAACCUCUUUCGACAGGGACGAAGCGCCAGUGACGGUACCUGUAGAAGAAGCACCGGCCCACUACGUUCCAGCAGCCGCGGUAAUACGUAGGGUGCGAGCGUUGUCCGGAAUUACUGGGCGUAAAGAGCUUGUAGGCGGUCUGUCGCGUCUUCUGUGAAAACUUGGGGCUCAACCUUAAGCUUGCAGGGGAUACGGGCAGACUAGAGUACUUCAGGGGAGACUGGAAUUCCUGGUGUAGCGGUGAAAUGCGCAGAUAUCAGGAGGAACACCGGUGGCGAAGGCGGGUCUCUGGGAAGUAACUGACGCUGAGAAGCGAAAGCGUGGGUAGCGAAC